rnacentral:siRNA from 1 species
UUCUAGAGGAUGUGCCAGUA